CUCUUAGCCAUCUAAUUCCAUGAACAGAAGGAAUGCAAUCAGAAUGCAAACUGCCUGAAAUAAUGACAUCUACAAUGAAAGACAUCUUUUUAAUUCAUGUCAUUGUUAACAAAAACAUUCCAAACUAAGAGGCCGAGGUCUACCUGCAAAAUAGAGAUUUUGUUCCAAAGAAAACCAGCACUCCUCACAAAAGAAAGAAUGUGCC